rnacentral:rRNA from 1 species
CCUACGGGAGGCAGCAGUGGGGAAUUUUGGACAAUGGGCGCAAGCCUGAUCCAGCAAUGCCGCGUGCAGGAUGAAGGCCUUCGGGUUGUAAACUGCUUUUGUACGGAACGAAACGGCUCUUUCUAAUAAAGAGAGCUAAUGACGGUACCGUAAGAAUAAGCACCGGCUAACUACGUGCCAGCAGCCGCGGUAAUACGUAGGGUGCGGGCGUUAAUCGGAAUUACUGGGCGUAAAGCGUGCGCAGGCGGUUAUAUAAGACAGAUGUGAAAUCCCCGGGCUCAACCUGGGACCUGCAUUUGUGACUGUAUAGCUAGAGUACGGUAGAGGGGGAUGGAAUUCCGCGUGUAGCAGUGAAAUGCGUAGAUAUGCGGAGGAACACCGAUGGCGAAGGCAAUCCCCUGGACCUGUACUGACGCUCAUGCACGAAAGCGUGGGGAGCAAACAGGAUUAGAUACCCUGGUAGUCCACGCCCUAAACGAUGUCAACUGGUUGUUGGGUCUUCACUGACUCAGUAACGAAGCUAACGCGUGAAGUUGACCGCCUGGGGAGUACGGCCGCAAGGUUGAAACUUAAAUGAAUUGACCGGNNGAGAGAGCGAGACGACGACGAGGGAGGAGG